rnacentral:sRNA from 1 species
CGGCUAGUCAAAUGUUGUUAUUUUAUCCUAGUACUUUUGUGGUCAUUAUGCUCCGGAAUUUGAGCUAGAGAGAAUUAAAGUCUGGCAGUACACUCCAGAUAAACUCAGGGCGCUUCACGUCAUCGCAAACAGUCCAGAAUUCGCAAGAGCUUUCAAGUGUUCAAAAAGGUCAACUUUAAAUCCUGAGAAGAAAUGCAGUGUUUGGUGACCUCUUGAACCAUGGAACACUUCCUACCUUUUAAAACAACACACUCUGUUAAAUGUUAGCGUUUAUUUUGUGUAAAACCAAAUUUGGUGUAAUACAAUUUGGAUUGUUCUGUAUUAAUGUUAGUAAAAAUAAAAUUAAUGUUGCUAUUUA